GAUGAAGAACGUAGCGAAAUGCGAUAAGUAAUGUGAAUUGCAGAAUUCAGUGAAUCAUCGAAUCUUUGAACGCACAUUGCGCCCCCUGGUAUUCCGGGGGGCAUGCCUGUUCGAGCGUCAUUUCAACCAUCAAGCCCCAGGCUUGUGUUGGGGACCUGCGGCUGCCGCAGGCCCUGAAAACCAGUGGCGGGCUCGCUGUCACACCGGGCGUAGUAGAUUUUAUCUCGCUCAGGGCGUGCUGCGGGUUCCGGCCGUUAAAAAGCCUUUUUUACCCAAGGUUGACCUCGGAUCAGGUAGGAAGACCCGCUGAACUUAAGCAUAUCAAUAGCGGAGGA
rnacentral:misc_RNA from 1 species